GGUGAACCUGAUGAUGAAGACGAUCCUGAUGAUGAAGAUAAUACUUUUGAUGAAGACGAUCUGAAUUCCCAACCUGUACCCAUUACUGAGCCUCUGGGAGAUGCUGAGGGUGUGUCUGCAGGGAGGACUUUGGUGGAUGUUGCACACAAGCCCAGCUCCCAUGGCAGGGGUGAGUAGUGUGUCCCUGCUGACCCCACAGGCUGGGACUUCGUUUUGUGGGAUCCAUUCCUGGGAAAUGGAAAUAUUACUCUUAAGGUCCUCCAAGAAGGAAGAAGAAACCUACAGGAGCUCGUAAGUCCCUGGACCAUUCCAAACAUCUGGAACAAAAACAGAGUGGCGUGGACAGCCAGCUUAAUGCAGCCGAGACCUCAACAGAUUCUGACUACACUUGGAAAAGCAUGAGAAGAGUUUUCUGCUGGGGAACACCUUGUUUGAUUAAGUUGAUGGCCAUUGUGGCUGGUGCAGCACUGUGCCUGCUUUUGUGCUCUGCCGGAAUCUGGUAUUGCUGGAAGAGAAAACGGUGCUCCUGUGCGUCUUCAGCAGAUGGGCCUAACAACACAGACAGCGGGAGCUUGACAGUUUAUCCCAGCUCUCCACUUCUGCCCCUAUCUGCCCUGCCAUGGCUGCAGCAGCGUCAGGAGGCCAUUCCAAAACCCAUCCUUCCACGAGACCCUCUGCCCCUGAGC